UCCCUGGUGGUCUAGUGUUUAAGAUUCAGCACUUUCACUGCUGUGGCCUGGGUUCAAACCCUGGUCAGGGAA
rnacentral:tRNA from 1 species